GCCAAGGACGAAGUGACUGACACCACGCUUCCAGGAAAAGCCACUAAGCUUCAGCUGUAGAAAAACCGUACCGCAAACCGACACAGGUAGGCAGGGUGAGAAUCCCAAGGCGCUUGAGAGAACUCGGGUGAAGGAACUAGGCAAAAUGGCACCGUAACUUCGGGAGAAGGUGCGCCUCUUGGUGUGGUCACGUGCGUGACUGAGCAUCGAGGGGUCGCAGUAACCUGGCCGCUGCGACUGUUUAUCAAAAACACAGCACUCUGCAAACACGAAAGUGGACGUAUAGGGUGUGACGCCUGCCCGGUGCUGGAAGGUUAAUUGAUGGGGUCAGCCGCAAGGCGAAGCUCUUGAUCGAAGCCCCAGUAAACGGCGGCCGUAACUAUAACGGUCCUAAGGUAGCGAAAUUCCUUGUCGGGUAAGUUCCGACCUGCACGAAUGGCGUAACGACAGCGGCGCUGUCUCCACCCGAGACUCAGUGAAAUUGAAAUCGCUGUGAAGAUGCAGCGUUCCCGCGGCAAGACGGAAAGACCCCGUGAACCUUUACUAUAGCUUUACACUGAACGUUGAGUUCUUCUGUGUAGGAUAGGUGGGAGGCUAUGAAACCAGGACGCUAGUUCUGGUGGAGCCAUCCUUGAAAUACCACCCUGAAGUGCUUGACGUUCUAACCUAGGUCCGUAAUCCGGAUCGGGGACCGUGUAUGGUGGGUAGUUUGACUGGGGCGGUCUCCUCCCAAAGAGUAACGGAGGAGCACGAAGGUACGCUCAGCGCGGUCGGACAUCGCGCACUGUGUGCAAAGGCAUAAGCGUGCUUGACUGCGAGAUUGACGGAUCAAGCAGGUACGAAAGUAGGUCUUAGUGAUCCGGUGGUUCUGUAUGUAAGGGCCAUCGCUCAACGGAUAAAAGGUACUCCGGGGAUAACAGGCUGAUACCGCCCAAGAGUUCAUAUCGACGGCGGUGUUUGGCACCUCGAUGUCGGCUCAUCACAUCCUGGGGCUGUAGCCGGUCCCAAGGGUAUGGCUGUUCGCCAUUUAAAGUGGUACGCGAGCUGGGUUCAGAACGUCGUGAGACAGUUCGGUCCCUAUCUGUCGUGGGCGUUGGAGAUUUGAGGGGGGCUGCUCCUAGUACGAGAGGACCGGGGUGGACGUUCCGCUGGUGUUCGGGUUGUCAUGCCCAUGGCAUUGCCCGGUAGCUACGAACGGAAGUGAUAACCGCUGAAAGCAUCUAAGCGGGAAGCACGCCCCAAGAUGAGAUCUCCCGAGAGCUUGACUCUCCUAAAGGCACCAUCAAGACUAGGUGGUUGAUAGGCACGGUGUGGAAGUGCAGCAAUGCAUUGAGCUUACGUGUACUAAUGAGCCGUGAGGCUUGACC
rnacentral:rRNA from 1 species